GGAAGGAUCACUGAAAUCCGUCUGUAAACAACACUGGUCACUUUUGUGUGUGGGCUUUUGGAUUGUUUUUUAACAGACCAGAAGCCCCAGGGUCCGGGCCUGGCCUUGACUGGUUAACACCGGCUUGGCUAGUGCCUGGGGUGGGCUGGCAAGAGCUCCCCUGAAACAAAUGCUUGCUGUCCUUGCUAGGCAGCUUGAAGUCCUAUAUCUGAAGGCCUGCUUGCUUGCUUAGGCUUGCUUGUGGUGUCUGGGGGCGGGAAGCUUAGCCUUGCUUCCUACUUGUCAUUUUAUUAUUUUUAAAUAAUUCUUUGGCACAGUAGGGGUAGGCUCUGUUUCUUUUUUAUUAUUUAAACUCUUUUAAACUGAAACUUAAGACCAGUCAUAGCAGCUCUGCUGUUGUGCAAACAAAGACAACUCUCAACAACGGAUGUCUUGGCUCUUGCAACGAUGAAGAACGCAGCGAAAUGCGAUACGUAGUGUGAAUUGCAGAAUUCCGUGAACCAUCGAAUCUUUGAAUGCAUAUUGCGCCUGGUGCCCCAUUUGGUGGCUCCAGACAUGUCUGCCUCAGCGUCGUGAUGGACCCUUGUCCCUUCUUAUUUUUGUUUACAAUAAUAAGUUGGCACAGAUCUGGCAGUCUCAAAGGCUUUUAAUUUAUUAAAUAGCCUCUGGGUCUGCUGAAGCUCAUUGACUCCAAAUAAAGGACCCAUUCCAAAGGGACAAUAGCUGGUUAGGCUCUUAACAAGCUACUUGCUAGUGUCCUGGGCCCUUUACAAUAUUGCGAGUCUGCAGGAAAAACAAUCAUCUUUUGACCUGAGUUUAGGCAAGGCUACCCGCUGAACUUAAGCAUAUCAAUAAGCGGAGGAAAAGAAACUAACUAGGAUUCCCUUAGUAACGGCGAGUGAACCGGGAUAAGCCCAACUUGAAAAUCUCCAGCCCUUGGCUGGCGAAUUGUAGUCUAUAGAAGUACUGCCUGAGACCGGCCUUGCCCAAGUUUCCUGGAACGGAACGCUUCAGAGGGUGAGAGCCCCGUAGGCGAGGUGCAGGUUUCAUCACGGCAUGCUUUCCCAGAGUCGGGUUGUUUGAGAAUGCAGCCCUAAUUUGGUGGUAAAUCCCAUCUAAGGCUAAAUACUGGCAAGAGACCGAUAGCGAACAAGUACCGCGAGGGAAAGAUGAAAAGAACUUUGAAAGAGAGUUAAAAGUGCCUGAAAUUGUUGAGGGGGAAGUGUUUGAAAGUCGCGGGUGCUCCCAGGCUUAUGCUGCUCCAUCCGGAUUAGCUGAAGGCACUGGGAGCUGGUCAGCAUGGGCUAGACCUGCGGGAUAAAACCAGAAGUUGCUAUUCUGGCUAUGCCGUGGGCCUGGCUGAGGCUGAAGGUUGCUCUUGUCCUCCGGGAUCUGCAUCCUCACGAUGCUGGCGGAAGGCUUUCAAACAGCCCGUCUUGAAACACGGACCAAGGAGUCUAACAUGUAUGCGAGUUGGUGGGUGGAAAACCCACGAAGCGCAAGUAACCUGACUGGUGGGAUGGCUCACGCCUGCACCAUCGACCGACCAUGAUCUUCUGUGAAAGGUUCGAGUACGAGCAUACCUGUUGGGACCCGAAAGAUGGUGAACUAUGCCUGAGCAGGGCGAAGCCAGAGGAAACUCUGGUGGAGGCUCGCAGAUGUGCUGACGUGCAAAUCGCUUUUCGGACUUGGGUAUAGGGGCGAAAGACUAAUCGAACCAUCUAGUAGCUGGUUCCCUC
rnacentral:misc_RNA from 1 species